GGGGUAAAGGCUCACCAAGGCAACGAUCAGUAGCGGGUCUGAGAGGAUGAUCCGCCACACUGGGACUGAUACACGGCCCAGAUUCCUACGGGAGUCAGCAGUGGGGAAUUUUGGACAAUGGGCGCAAGCAUGAUCCAGCCAUGCCGCGUGUCUGAAGAAGGCCUUCGGGUUGUAAAGGACUUUUGUCCGGGAGCAAAUCCCAGUGGUUAAUACCUACUGGGGCUGAGAGUACCGGAAGAAUAAGCACCGGCUAACUACGUGCCAGCAGCCGCGGUAAUACGUAGGGUGCAAGCGUUAAUCGGAAUUACUGGGCGUAAAGCGUGCGCAGGCGGUUGUGCAAGUCUGAUGUGAAAGCCCCGGGCUUAACCUGGGAACGGCAUUGGAGACUGCACGACUAGAGUGCGUCAGAGGGGGGUAGAAUUCCGCGUGUAGCAGUGAAAUGCGUAGAGAUGCGGAGGAAUACCGAUGGCGAAGGCAGCCCCCUGGGAUGACACUGACGCUCAUGCACGUAAGCGUGGGGAGCAAACAAGAGUAG
rnacentral:rRNA from 1 species